rnacentral:rRNA from 1 species
AGUGAACGCUGGCGGUAGGCCUAACACAUGCAAGUCGAACGGCGGCACAGUAAGAGCUUGCUCUUACGGGUGGCGAGUGGCGGACGGGUGAGGAAUACAUCGGAAUCUACUUUUUCGUGGGGGAUAACGUAGGGAAACUUACGCUAAUACCGCAUACGACCUACGGGUGAAAGCAGGGGAUCUUCGGGCCUUGCGCGAUUGAAUGAGCCGAUGUCGGAUUAGCUAGUUGGCGGGGUAAAGGCCCACCAAGGCGACGAUCCGUAGCUGGUCUGAGAGGAUGAUCAGCCACACUGGAACUGAGACACGGUCCAGACUCCUACGGGAGGCAGCAGUGGGGAAUAUUGGACAAUGGGCGCAAGCCUGAUCCAGCCAUACCGCGUGGGUGAAGAAGGCCUUCGGGUUGUAAAGCCCUUUUGUUGGGAAAGAAAAGCAGCAGGUUAAUACCCCGCUGUUCUGACGGUACCCAAAGAAUAAGCACCGGCUAACUUCGUG